CACUUAAAAAAAACUUUGGGCCUUGUGCUCUUUUACAAAUCACAACCGUUAAUCAAUAAAAGCUAAUUUCUUUAGAAAUGAUACUCCUUCCCAAAAUAAAUGGAACUCCCUACUAAAACCUAACUCCUCCAAACGUUUGACAGCCGCUAUCAACUCCUCACCAUUAAACUAUCAACUUCCUUUCAUUUCACAAACCCACAAAAUUCAAGAGGUGUUUUAAAAUGGGUGGUCUAACAUUCGCUCUUCUAAUAUUUUUACCCUUGACUUUAUAUCUUUUUGUUCCUGAUUUUCUUUGACGAAGAUUGCCAUGAUAUUUUGAAGUCUGGAGUUCAUAAGCGACAAGUAUUUGAAGCGGCCGGAAGGAGUAACGAAGAUUUAUUUUCUUGUAUCAUCUUGAAUUAUUUGUAAAAUUGAAGUUAUGAAUAAAAAUCUUGAGUAUACAAUUUUUGUAAA